AGUUUGAUCAUGGCUCAGAUUGAACGCUGGCGGCAGGCCUAACACAUGCAAGUCGAGCGGUAGAGAGAAGCUUGCUUCUCUUGAGAGCGGCGGACGGGUGAGUAAUGCCUAGGAAUCUGCCUGGUAGUGGGGGAUAACGUCCGGAAACGGACGCUAAUACCGCAUACGUCCUACGGGAGAAAGCAGGGGACCUUCGGGCCUUGCGCUAUCAGAUGAGCCUAGGUCGGAUUAGCUAGUUGGUGGGGUAAUGGCUCACCAAGGCGACGAUCCGUAACUGGUCUGAGAGGAUGGUCAGUCACACUGGAACUGAGACACGGUCCAGACUCCUACGGGAGGCAGCAGUGGGGAAUAUUGGACAAUGGGCGAAAGCCUGAUCCAGCCAUGCCGCGUGUGUGAAGAAGGUCUUCGGAUUGUAAAGCACUUUAAGUUGGGAGGAAGGGCAGUAAAUUAAUACUUUGCUGUUUUGACGUUACCGACAGAAUAAGCACCGGCUAACUCUGUGCCAGCAGCCGCGGUAAUACAGAGGGUGCAAGCGUUAAUCGGAAUUACUGGGCGUAAAGCGCGCGUAGGUGGUUCGUUAAGUUGGAUGUGGAAUCCCCGGGCUCAACCUGGGAACUGCAUUCAAAACUGACGAGCUAGAGUAUGGUAGAGGGUGGUGGAAUUUCCUGUGUAGCGGUGAAAUGCGUAGAUAUAGGAAGGAACACCAGUGGCGAAGGCGACCACCUGGACUGAUACUGACACUGAGGUGCGAAAGCGUGGGGAGCAAACAGGAUUAGAUACCCUGGUAGUCC
rnacentral:rRNA from 1 species